CACAGAUUUCCAUCGUCUUUUGUCCUGCGACCGUCGCCCCGCACCCCGUCGUCCUUCGUCGUCCAGCCUCCGUCGCACAUGGACCGUCCAUUUGAAUCCCUGAACGCUCGCGCUUCCCUCGCACAAAAAUCGCGCAGCCCAGGCCGCCGCACCACGAGAUCCGUCCUCCCCAGCCGUCCUCGCUGCGCCCAGGCCGUCGCACCCCAAGCUACGCCCUCCGCCGCCAUCCCUAACUGACGAUCUGCCUAUUCCCCGACUCCCUCCUCCUGUGGGCAGAUUCUCCUGCUCGCGUGCGCCGCGUCGCUAGAUCCACGCCGCGCCGCCGCCGUCCCCGCCGCUUCGCCCCACCGUCGGCCUCGUUUUAGUCCGCCGCCUCCCGCACGACGAGCCUUAACGCCACCUCCGCCCGCUCUCUCUCGCUCGCCGCACCAAGCAAUCACCACUACGAGCUUCGCCACGUCGAGCCGAAUCCAUUUGGCCAGUCCUCGCAGCCUCCCCGCCAGUGCAGAGCCGCCACCACGGAGUGUUCCGAAGCCGGCCGACGCUUGCCGGAUUCCAGCCAAAUCCGGCCUCUCCGCCAUAGGUCAGAGAUCCCUACCUAGGAGGAUUUGAUUCAAUUUGGUCCUAUUUUCGACAUUGGGCUCCCAAAUCAAGCACCUAGAACCAGCACCUAGAGAUGAUUGCACUCGUUGACCCAAGCAACCUGCUUGGUAUGAACGGAGCUGGCGUGCCCACCAUGUGCUUGUCGAAUGCCAAACCACAUAAACUGACAUACCGGAAGAAAGCAAAAUGGACAAUAAGUUAUGUGGCUGAAAUUGUUCAAUGCAGCAAGUAGUUGAGUACAUUAUGUAAUGAUGAACUGGUUGUGCCUGCAGUUAGGGGUGCAGUUUUGCUGAUUGAGGGAGUGAUCACUACUGCAUACACCUUUGCAUUGGUGGAACAACGAGAUGGUAGGCAAAAUCAGAUAUGUCGUAAUUCCUCAGUGGUGAUGUGCAGAUUUAGACAGGAAUCAAGCUGCGACAGCUGCUAGACUGGCAUGGUCCAUGCUAAGUUCUGCAGCAGCGACAGAAUCUAUACUGAGUGAAUUGCCAUGGCUUCUAGCAGUUCUGCACAUCAUUUCUCCUAAAUAUGCAAGGUAAUGGUAAUAUUUUUUUUUUCAUCUCUGCAAGAUCUACUACAUGUAGGUAUCAAAGUAAAUGUAAGCUGACACAUGUCAAUUUGAGUUGAAUAUAUCAUCAGUCCGCUUAUUUUCUAAUGGACAUCAUGUACACGAUCCAUUAAAUCCUAGUCAAUGGGAGCAAAUUGAUAGGACAAGCAUCUUCUAAACAUCAAUGGGGGUCCAUUUUUAUGGUCACUACUCCCCUUCUGGCUGAAUGGUGCCAAUAUUCCCUCAGGGUAGUUCUUUUUGGUUUGUUCCGAUUCAGUGUUCGAUCUGUGCAGUACUCUGAUUUUGUUGGUCUCUGUUCGAGCUUGUGAGAGAUGGAAGUUCAACCUCCCCAAUGGUCCCUUUCUGGUAACCCCACUCUCCUGGAUUGGAUUGUCUAUAGGCGGAUGCUCUAACACUCUUCAGGAUUGGAUUGUUCUAUAAAGCCAUCGUUGGUGUAUGAUUGCUGGAGUGCGGAUUAUCCUGAGUGAAAGGAAAAGGAACUGUUUGUCCUUUUGUUUGUAUGUUCAUACACUUGUUGGUAGUCUGGACAUUGAUGUCAUUCUGGUUGGAUGAAAGAUUUGUCUCACCAUAUUGCAUAGAAAGAUUUGUCUCACCAGUAGCCUUUUGAAGAAUCUACCAUGGCUUUUUCCUGAUUUUCGAUUCCAUCUGCUUGUUUCUGUAUUGGCAGUCUGCUAUUCAUGGCUGAGAAGAUAAAAGUUGAACCAAACAUCAGUUUGUUUUCUAUAUGCUCUCCUGGUUCUGGUGAAUGGUUCUGCGUUCAGCAGGUUACUUGGCGUAUGGUUAGUUUCUUAACUCACAAAUGGAUAAUUGUUUUACUCUAUUACAUUUAAAUUGUAGGAUUAUGCAACUCAGUGACCAUAUUCAUUUGCUGUUUGCCUGGGUAUAUCUGUUCAAGAUUGUCAGUGUGGCGUUAAUUUCAGGACUAUAACGCUGUGGAGAGAAAUUUUUUUUAAAAGAUAGAUGUUUUGGCCUCGACUUCAUCAAAAUAGAGAAUAACUUUUGAAUGCUUUUCUGCAAAGAGUGGUUACAGGUUGCAGGGGCAACACCACCUCAUUUGUCCUUACGAGGACCUAACUCAACUUGGCACUUCCUUCACUGUGUUUACUUUCCAAGUUGUUGAUAUGUUCUUUUACAAAGAUGUCCAAGUGUUUUAACAAGCUGAGGAGAAAAAUAUGGUUGCAUCCUUGUCAUC